rnacentral:rRNA from 1 species
UAGCUAGUUGGUGAGGUAACGGCUUACCAAGGCGACGAUCUGUAGCGGGUCUGAGAGGAUGAUCCGCCACACUGGAAUUGAGACACGGUCCAGACUCCUACGGGAGGCAGCAGUGGGGAAUUUUGGACAAUGGGGGCAACCCUGAUCCAGCCAUGCCGCGUGAGUGAAGAAGGCCUUCGGGUUGUAAAGCUCUUUCGGCCGGGAAGAAAUCGCAUGGGCCAAUACCCUGUGUGGAUGACGGUACCGGAAUAAGAAGCACCGGCUAACUACGUGCCAGCAGCCGCGGUAAUACGUAGGGUGCGAGCGUUAAUCGGAAUUACUGGGCGUAAAGCGUGCGCAGGCGGUUUUGUAAGACAGGCGUGAAAUCCCCGGGCUCAACCUGGGAACUGCGUUUGUGACUGCAAGGCUAGAGUACGGCAGAGGGGGGUGGAACUCCACGUGUAGCAGUGAAAUGCGUAGAGAUGUGGAGGAACACCAAUGGCGAAGGCAGCCCCCUGGGUCGAUACUGACGCUCAUGCACGAAAGCGUGGGUAGCAAACAGGAUUAGAUACCCUGGUAGUCCACGCCCUAAACUAUGUCAACUAGGUGUUGGGUGGGUAAAACCAUUUAGUACCGUAGCUAACGCGUGAAGUUGACCGCCUGGGGAGUACGGCCGCAAGGUUAAAACUCAAAGGAAUUGACGGGGACCCACACAAGCGGUGGAUGAUGUGGAUUAAUUCGAUGCAACGCGAAAAACCUUACCUACCCUUGACAUGCCAGGAACUUGCCAGAGAUGGCUUGGUGCCCGAAAGGGAGCCUGGACACAGGUGCUGCAUGGCUGUCGUCAGCUCGUGUCGUGAGAUGUUGGGUUAAGUCCCGCAACGAGCGCAACCCUUGUCGUUAAUUGCCAUCAUUUAGUUGGGCACUUUAGCGAGACUGCCGGUGACAAACCGGAGGAAGGUGGGGAUGACGUCAAGUCCUCAUGGCCCUUAUGGGUAGGGCUUCACACGUCAUACAAUGGUCGGUACAGAGGGUCGCCAAGCCGCGAGGUGGAGCCAAUCCCAGAAAGCCGAUCGUAGUCCGGAUUGCAGGCUGCAACUCGCCUGCAUGAAGUCGGAAUCGCUAGUAAUCGUGGAUCAGCAUGUCACGGUGAAUACGUUCCCGGGUCUUGUACACACCGCCCGUCACACCAUGGGAGCGGGUUCCGCCAGAAGUAGGUAGCCUAACCGCAAGGAGGGCGCUUACCACGGCGGGGUUCGUGACUGGGGUGAAGUCGUAACAAGGUAGCCGUAGGGGAACCUGCGGCUG